UUUCCUUAUGGUCAUUAUUC
rnacentral:snRNA from 1 species